CCCGAGGUUUCGGUUGUAUCGAUAGUAGUUGUAGUGCGUGUGAGCGAGUCGCAAAGCCGUCGGUGUUUUGGUCAUUACUGCUGCUGGAUUGAAAGAAAAGAUAGAUAUUAUUGUGUAUUAAUUUUUUGCUCAGCCAAUGCUUGGCUUUUGCAAAUUGCAAAAAGUUAAAAGAGAUGAAAUAAAACACAUACAGCAAAAACAAUUCAGUAUUAUUUAACAAAAAAAAAUAUAAAAACACUCCGGGUCGAAAUUUAAACCAAAUCCGCAUUCGAAUAGAAAACAAUCAAAUUAUUCAACAAAAUAAAAAA